GAUGAACGCUGGCGGCGUGCCUAAUACAUGCAAGUCGAGCGAAUGGAUUAAGAGCUUGCUCUUAUGAAGUUAGCGGCGGACGGGUGAGUAACACGUGGGUAACCUGCCUAUAAGACUGGGAUAACUCCGGGAAACCGGGGCUAAUACCGGAUAACAUUUUGAACCGCAUGGUUCGAAAUUGAAAGGCGGCUUCGGCUGUCACUUAUGGAUGGACCCGCGUCGCAUUAGCUAGUUGGUGAGGUAACGGCUCACCAAGGCAGCGAUGCGUAGCCGACCUGGGAGGGUGAUCGGCCACACGGGGCCUGAGACACGGCCCAGACUCCUACGGGAGGCAGCAGUAGGGAAUCUUCCGCAAUGGACGAAAGUCUGACGGAGCAACGCCGCGUGAGUGAUGAAGGCUUUCGGGUCGUAAAACUCUGUUGUUAGGGAAGAACAAGUGCUAGUUGAAUAAGCUGGCACCUUGACGGUACCUAACCAGAAAGCCACGGCUAACUACGUGCCAGCCGCCGCGGUAA
rnacentral:rRNA from 1 species